rnacentral:lncRNA from 1 species
UCAGAUGCUGCUAUCUCUGUGGAGCACUUGAUGCGACCACUGCACCAGGACUAGCAUUUUCUUUUUAAUUAAAACUUCAAAAUGCAAUUUAAAAAUCAUGCAUUAAAGAGUCUAAUAGAAAAGCGAUCCAAAAGUUAAACAUGAAGACCCGUCUCGCGUUCAGGCGACGGUACGGCGGCCCAGAAGGGCCAACGCGAAGGAAAAAGGCGCGACGCACGACAACGGAAGUUCCGCACAACGGAAACGAGUCUCAUCGCUGCCGAGGACGGAUACGCGGCGUUGGGAGAAAGUACAAUGUAUUGUCAAUUUUGUGGAGUCAGCCUGCAGUCACCAACAGCAUUUUGCAGUGCUUGUGGCAAAGACAUCAAGUUCCUGUCUCCUGAUAAAACAGACACAGCUGAAGGAAGCUCAGUAAAAUGUGCAGUGGAGUCAUUCCACGAUUUCCGGAUUUUAAAAUGGAAGAGACGAGCGUCAAGAAAGAAAAAAGAUGGACAGAAAAAGAUCAGUGUGAAGAUUUCAGUGGCCCUUAUGCGACUGAGCGAUGGAGCUCUGAGGCCUGUGAGAGGAACAGCCCUCACCCUUGAGGUGAAUCCAGAAUUCGAUGCUGAGCACUUGCACAAAGCCGCUGUAGAAAAAACGAAAGAGUUGAAUUUGCAAGGUGGCUCGUACUUUCUGCUCUACCCUGACGGAACAAGGAUAGUCAACAUACCGGGAACAGAAACAGCGUUCACUCUCAAACAUUUCAAGGAGGCCAUGGGAAAGGCGUACCAACGCAUCACAGUGUACGUUUGUCCAGCUGAAGACUUCCAUACCUUUAGUAAGUGACUGAAAUUAAUAACAAGAAGAACGGUCAUAAAUGUAGUUUUUCAUCGACAUGCACGUUUAAAUCAUGAUCGUAUUUGUCACAGCUCAAUUCAGUUCAAUUCAGCUGAUACAGUAGUGAGCCUAACAUUUACAUUUACGGCAUUUGGCAGACGCCCUUAUCCAGAGCCACUUACAACGUGCUUUCAAGUUACCAUCGAUGAAGAGAUCAAUUCUGGUUCAGUAGGACCCCAACUAUGAAUACAAUCUUUUUAUUCACUGUGUUGUAGAUAAUGUACACAAGUUCGACAAUAAGAAAGUUACAAUUUAAUCUAAAUAUUCUUUAAAGAGGAAGGUCUUGAGCUGUCAUUUGAAGGUGCUCAGUGACUGAGCUGUUCUGACCUCGAGGGGAAGUUCAUUCCACCACCGAGGGGCCAAGACGGAGAAGAGUCUAGAUGAAUGUUUUCCUUUUACCUUCAGAGAUGGAGGGACCAGGCGAGCAGUACUGGAGGCUCGGAGUAUACGAGGUGCAGUGCGAGGUGUAAUAAGGGCUGUGAGGUAGGAUGGUGCUACUCCAUGUUUGGCUUUGUAGGCCAGCAUCAGUAUUUUGAACCUGAUGCGUGCAGCUACUGGGAGCCAGUGGAGGGAGCGUAGCAGAGGGGCGAUGUGGGAGAAUUUGGGAAGGUUGAAGAUCAGUCGUGCUGCUGCAUUUUGUAUGAGUUGUAGAGGUCGGAUGGUGCAUAGUGGUAGACCAGCUAGAAGGGAGUUGCAGUAGUCCAGUCUUGAGAUUACUUAGGACUGAACCAGUAGUUGGUUGGCCUGGGCUGACAGAUAAGGGCGGAUUCAUCUGCUAUUGUAACAUUUGCUGCACACACCACACAGGCGUUUCCCCCUUUAAAUCGUAUUUAAUGCUGCACUUCUUAUUGUUCGUGCAUCCAUAAAAGGAUACUGUGGUUUAAUGGACAAGAUAAAUCUAUAUUAGUCCCACAAGUAGGAGAUUUGCAUUAAUAAGAUAAGAGUGGAA